rnacentral:lncRNA from 1 species
UCUUGGGCUUCUAAAUUCCAGAAUUGUGAGAAAAUGAAUUGGUUCAGCCACUCAGUCUGUGGUACUUCGUCAAGGCAGCCCUAGCAAAACUCUUCCACCUUCUAAUGACUUUUAGUCAUCUCUGGAAUAAAACCCACAGGCUCUAAGAAGUUUCUAAGGCCUAGGAUGAUCUGACUGACUCUUGCCUCUGGUGCCUCAGCCUUAGACACUUCCUGCCUCUCUCUACUCCAGCCACACUAGCCUCGGUGCAGUUCCACAUACAUCAUCCUCCUUCGUCUGGAGCCUCUGGAUGUCCUGUUUCUUUGGCUUGGAAUCCUCCUACCUGCUCAUGCUACUUACUCACCUCGUCAGUAGCACCACCCUUCAAGUCUCAGCUUAAACAUCGCUCCUUAGAGAAGCCAUCCUUGUUCCCUUAGACUAGGGAACAAGGGAAUCUGUGGUAAUUCUGUGGUAAUCUUCCACAGAAUUUUGUACUGGUAAUUUACAGCCCUUAUGAUCCUCCAGUCACUUGGUCAACAUAUCUCUUCUAUGCAAGAUUGUAUCCUCCAGGUCUCAGGAACCAUUUCUGCUGUAUCUGUGGUAUAUUUGGUGUGGUAUAUAUGUAUUUGAAUGAAGCCUCAGAAUGAACAGGCUAACAGUUGCCAGGAUCAUGACCAUUCUGGCAGGAAAAUGGACAGAACUGCUUUGGACACGCAUUCACAACCAAAACAGGGCUUUUUGAUGACUACAAUCAACUGCCUUCAUGCUUGAGUCUAAGCUUCCUAAAU